rnacentral:rRNA from 1 species
AUUGAACGCUGGCGGCAGGCCUAACACAUGCAAGUAGAGCGAGCGGCGGACGGGUGAGUAAUGCCUGGGAAUUGCCCAGUCGAGGGGGAUAACAGUUGGAAACGACUGCUAAUACCGCAUACGAUUGGAUUGCCCAUGUGGGAUUAGCUAGUUGGUGAGGAAAUGGCUCACCAAGGCGACGAUCCCUAGCUGGUCUGAGAGGAUGAUAAGCCACACUGGAAGGUGGGAACGGUCCAGACUCCUACGGUAGGCAGCCGUGGGAAAUAUUGCACAAAGGGGGAAACUCUGAUGCAGCCAUGCCGCGUGUGUGAAGAAGGCCUUCGGGUUGUAAAGCACUGUCAUCGAAGAGGCGUUACUCGCAGAAGAAGCACCGGCUAACUCCGUGCCAGCAGCCGCGGUAAUAC